CUUUAAAGGAAUAUAUAAAGAAAGCCCACAAAAUUUUAAGACGCGAUAGGGUUAACAUAGGGAUUUCGUUCACCGAAUUUUGGGAAACCCUGAAUUUAUGUCGCGGCGUUUCAUCAGCAUCGGUGUAUAUCUUCCUCUCAAAACCCUACAACCGCAAAACUAAAACAAGUGAGAAAUCAAUCGCCACUCCAUUUGAUCUAAUCCAUUUAUUGACUGAAGAAUAUGGAGAGUGGGGAGCAGACAGUCAUUCAAAUCAAUAAGCAUAAUCUGAACUUAGUCGUGUUUUGUUUCUCCUUUAUCAUCUUCUAUUAAUGGUCAUUUGUUUGGCCGAUCAUGGAGCGUUGAGGGUUUAAUCGGAGCACCAAAGUCCGUCGGGUCAAGGAUUUCUACCAUGAUAUGACGAAAGGUCAGUGAUGAUGUUGUUUGAGGCGAUGGCAGUGGUAGGUAGUGGAAAAAUCGAAGCCUAAACAGUGGCGGCUUUAGGGUUCCUUCAUGAGUCAGUCGGUGGUCAAUUAGACUUACAUUGGGGUCACUACUAUGAGGAUGAAAUUAAGGUUCAGAAAAGCUACAUAACUUUGACGUACAAAAUCAGAACAAAAGUUCAAUCUGGAACUUUGAGGUGCUAAUCGGAAUAGGCUGGCUACUCCUAGCAUCAAUAAAGAGUCUCGCAAGCUUAGAUGCCUAAAGUCUGUUGAACAAUGUUUCAUUAUCUUUGAUCCGCCUGUGGAUCCUU
rnacentral:lncRNA from 1 species